UGGGGAAUUGUUCGCAAUGGGCGCAAGCCUGACGACGCAACGCCGCGUGGAGGAUGAAGACCUUCGGGUCGUAAACUCCUGUCGAGCGGGACGAAUGAGCCGCGGGGAAAUACUCCGCGGAGGUGACGGUACCGCUAAAGGAAGCCCCGGCUAACUCCGUGCCAGCAGCCGCGGUAAUACGGGGGGGGCAAGCGUUGUUCGGAAUUACUGGGCGUAAAGGGCUCGUAGGCUGCCAACUAAGUCAGACGUGAAAUCCCUCGGCUUAACCGGGGAACUGCGUCUGAUACUGGAUGGCUUGAAUCCGGGAGAGGGAUGCGGAAUUCCAGGUGUAGCGGUGAAAUGCGUAGAUAUCUGGAGGAACACCGGUGGCGAAGGCGGCAUCCUGGACCGGUAUUGACGCUGAGGAGCGAAAAGCCAGGGGAGCAAACGGGAUUAGAUACCCCGGUAGUCCUGGCCCUAAACGAUGAAUGCUUGGUGUGGCGGGUAUCGAUCCCUGCCGUGCCGAAGCUAACGCAUUAAG
rnacentral:rRNA from 1 species